rnacentral:lncRNA from 1 species
UCUCAUUUAUCCCAAGAAUUUUUUUUGGUAAUCAGCUCCCAUGCUGCAAACAAUCAAAGCUGAAUUUUGUGGCUCUCAUUCCCUGCCCAUCCACACCAGCAGCGUGCCACAUUGUUUUCCGCACUCGACUGGGCGAACAGUUGACCGGAAGAUAACUUCGAUUCGCCUGGCCAGAAUUAGAUAUUUGAAUAAUCAGCAGUCAAAACUAAAACUUAAUGUACCCACCAAUUAUACUGCAUCCUUGACCAUGGUAUUAAGCCC